UACGUAGGUGGCAAGCGUUGUCCGGAUUUAUUGGGUUUAAAGGGUGCGUAGGCGGUCUUCUAAGUCAGUUGUGAAAUACUUCAGCUUAACUGGAGAGGUGCAAUUGAUACUGGAAGGCUUGAGUACUGAUGAGGUAGGCGGAAUGGACGGUGUAGCGGUGAAAUGCUUAGAUAUCGUCCAGAACACCGAUAGCGAAGGCAGCUUACUAAGGAGUAACUGACGCUGAGGCACGAAAGUGUGGGGAUCAAACAGG
rnacentral:rRNA from 1 species